UCCUAGGUCUGGAAGGAUAAAUCCCAGGGGAAGUGAGCUGCAGAACAUUUUAUGCAUCACUCAUUCUAUUAUGAGCCCUCUGCUGCUCCAUCUCUAUAAGACUGGCUGAAUCCACGACAAUAACAAUUGUUUACAAUUAUACUCUAACUUUGGAUCAUCUAGUUAAUACCCUAACUCUGAUUAUUUUGAACACAAUGUCCUAUAAGAAAGACUAUUUGAAUGAUUUUACUGCAUUAGUAAUAAAACAACAAAGAAAAAUGAAACAUUCUGAAUGUACCAUCUGAUGAGCUGACAGUGAAAGAACAGAAACCCAGCAGUAAGACUGCAUGAGCAAUAAGACUGCACGGCUACGUUUUCCAGAGCCACCAGCUGGGAGUUAAGUUGACUAAGGUUGUGAAAGGAGAGCCCAUUUGGAUCACAGCAGGCA